UACGUAGGGUGCGAGCGUUGUCCGGAAUUAUUGGGCGUAAAGGGCUCGUAGGCGGUUUGUCGCGUCGGGAGUGAAAACCAGGUGCUUAACACCUGGCUUGCUUUCGAUACGGGCAGACUAGAGGUAUUCAGGGGAGAACGGAAUUCCUGGUGUAGCGGUGAAAUGCGCAGAUAUCAGGAGGAACACCGGUGGCGAAGGCGGUUCUCUGGGCCGUAACUGACGCUGAGGAGCGAAAGCGUGGGGAGCGAACAGG
rnacentral:rRNA from 1 species